GUUCAGCAAUGCAAACAUGAAAGAAAAGAGCCCCGCCACCGCCUCUACACUUGGACGGAUUCUAGCUACUUGUUCUAAGCAGGUUUGCUCGGCAGCUAUACUUACCUCGUCUUGGUUUGGGGUAAUUAACUUAAAAGUGCACUUUUAAGUUAAUUACCAGAGACUACGGAAGCUGUGUUGCAUCCAAAGUCCCCGAGGUUGAAAGAGACUUGUGCUUUAAAGAGUUUCUUGCACUGAAGAACUGUAUGCAGCAUACGAUCCGUGGAAAGGCUUGAAUCUCCAUUAUAUUAUCCUUCUCUUUCGAGGCAUUUCUUAUCACUGCUUAUGUUAAGAUGGUUUCAAGCUCACAGCCAAGUGUCGGCUCGGGUGGUUUAUCACAUGCCUAUAUACAACAUCCAUCCCUACGUUGCAAUAUUCCUGAAUCCAGGGGGUUGUUCUAUGAUGAUGCCAACAGAUUGCUAAUUUCUACCACAUCUAGUCAAGACUUUUCAUGGCAGACAUCUCCCUUUAACCCAGAUGCAUCUCCUUCAGUUGAUUCUAUAUGUGAAGGGCCUAUUGUAACGACCCGCUCCCGGAGUAUUUUUAAAUUUGAAGGAAAUAAAUCGUGAGAGGUUUGAUUCAUCAAGGAGUCUAUUUUUCUAAGUGUGGAAACACUUAUAUCCAUGAAGGUUGGAAGAAUAAGUUGUACUUUGACAAGUUUCGGAUCAUUAGUGAGCUUAUGGAACGAAAUUAAAAUGGGAUGAGUGACUGUAGAACGAUCAUGAAAUGAUCGGAGCGUACGUAAGGAAAGGUCGAGACCGCAUGGCUAAUUAAUGUUCGACUACUGGACAAUGCGGGUUCCAACUAAGGAAAGUUUGACUGGUCUUCUUUGGGAGAAUUUUACGGAAGAAAGAUCGGGAUAUCGAGAUUCAUAUAAGGAAAGAUGCGCAUAGAUUCUCGAGUAUUGAUUGCAAAGUUUGACCAAGCCAAAUAAGGAAAACAACAAUAAAUUUCCGGCUUGGUGAGCAAGUCCAAGAGCAAUAUAAAAAGAGACCUCCAGCUCUCAUUCUAGACACAACUCAAAAAGCAAGUCUUAGGGAGUCUAGAGAAAGAACGCAGUCUUAAAGAGAGAGUUUGGGCGGUGAGGAUCGAGCAAGGAGGAUCGCAGGAUUCUUCGCCGGAAAACACAACUAGGUUCAGAGUCUUCGGUCUUUUAAGAUCAAUACAGGUAAGGUUGAUUAUGUAGACCGGAGCGCGAGGCUAUAAAGACCAUCGGCAAGAGUGUUUUAAAGGUGGAUAAUGUUGAGAGGUUUUGUAAAAGAUAUUUUAUUGUAAACUACAUGAUUUUUAAUACUUAGUAUCGGGUUUCAUUUAUAAAGUUGUAGUACUUCUCAUAUUCAUCCUAUAAAAAUUUGACUCGAUCUUUUACUUAGAAAUUUUCAUGUGUUUUCAAAGAUUCACGGGUUGGGUGUUUCACCUAUCCUCUCUAUCAGAUUCUCUAUUGAUAAAAAAGUGAUAGCUGUCCAGAGAUCCGACUGUGAAAUACAGUUUUUUCAUCGAGAAACCAAGCAGAUACUUAACCACAAAUGCAGGGCAGGAUCAGAGAGUAUUCUCGGAUUCUUUUGGAGCGACUCUCCACUAUGUGAUCUUGCAAUUGUAAAAACCAGGUGGGGCUCUGUAUCUUUUAACUUCAUAGAAGGCCUUUCAGUUCUGGUUAUGUAUUAUUUUUUUUUUCUCGCUAAUAAUAGUUUUCUUCUGUUUCUUGUCUCAGUGGCAUGGACUUGUUUGCUUGUGAUUCUAUGUUGAAUCUGUGUUUGGUGGAAACCAAGAAAGUGAAUGUGAAUUGGUACAUCUACACACAUGAAACUCGACUGGUUCUUCUUGCAUCAGGAUUGCAAUGCAAGACAGUUACUGGAUUUCAGGUAUUACACAAAAUUUAUCAUCAACUAUAAACUAAAUUGAUAGAUAUUGUCCAGUACAUGUGUGUAAAAAAAAUCAAAGAAUUAUGAAUUUUCUAUGUUAAAUAGCUUUUCCAACUAUUCACGUACUUAUGAUGUAUAUGGUAGAGUUGUCAAUCAGAUUUUAUGAUUGAGUUUAAAUUUAUUUUAGUUAUUGAAUGGUUUAGGUACGAGCCUGAUAUUUAUUUGAUCUACUCUGCAGCUUUCCACUGCAGGGGUUGUUCUUUUACCGAGAUUUGAGAUGACCAUGGCUAGAUCUGAAUCAAACAGCCAAACUAUUCUUUAUGUUUCUUUUUGGUUCUCUUCUCCUCCUAAAAAUUUCUCGUCAUUCACACUAUGUAGCUGGAGAGUAAUUCUUUACCAUUCUCUUUCAGCUAUGGCCGAAUAUAUUGCUUACAAGUGGACAGGGAGGCUAUGCAACUCCAUACAUACACAAGUUUGUUUUCCACAUUACUGGGAAUGUGAUCAUUGUUCAGGGCUUUGUUCUUUCUUCAUUCAUUCAUUGGAUCUUUUUUACAGGGUUCUUUACCAAUGUACUCGAGUAAAUUGUCGGUGAGUGUGGUUGACAAUUUACUGCUUGUGCACCAAAUCGAAGCAAAGGUUGUUAUCAUCUAUGACUUAUUUAUGGAUUCUCGAGCUCCUGUGUCUGCUCCUCUUCCUUUGCUGUGGAGGGGUCACCAAGGCUCAGACACAUCGUCUCUAGCGGCUAACAAAGAAAUUGAGAGCCCAGAAUCAUCCACAAGCAGUGAAAACAUAGUCAUGUAUGAAGAUGCAUGGACCUUUCUUGCUCCAGACCUUAUUCUGGAUCAGACUAACAAGGUUCUGUGUAGGGUACAUCUGGAUCUUGAGGCAAGUUGGCUUUUCUUAGUUUAUUUACAUGACAAUUGAUUCUUGAAUAUUUCAAAAAUGUUCAGUAUUUACCAUGAUGUACUGCAGGCAAUUUCCGCUAGCAGCUCAGACAGUACGUCCCUUCUAGAAUUCCUGCAACGAAGGAAGUUGGAAGCAAAUAAGGUCCCAAACUUUCUUUUGCUCUGCGCUUUAAGUAAUGGUGUAAUCUAUAAGCAUGAUGGCGCACCGUUUUUCUGUUGGGGAAAGACACACGGCGCAGCGGAAUGUCACGGUCGUGUUCCCCUGACCUUGUGCGAACCUGUGAGGAAAAUACUUCGACGAUGGCAAGAUAUCAAAGUUGCGAUAACUAAAUGAGACACACAAUUUUUACGUGGAAAACCUCCUCGAUGUGAGAA